GCACAAAGCGGUAAUGGGUAAUAACCGGGACGCCGCACGAAACGGUUGGGGUAAUAACCGGGAAAACGCACAAAGCGGUAAGGGGUAAUAACCGGGAGGACGCACGAAGCGGUAAUGGGUAAUAACCGGGAAAACGCACGAAGCGGUAAUGGAGUAAUAACUGGGAGGACGCACGAAACGGUAAGGGGUAAUAACCGGGAGGACGCACGAAGCGGUAAUGGGUAAUAACCGGGAGGCCGCACGAAGCGGUAAUGGGUAAUAACCGAGAGACCGCACGAAGCGGUAAUGGGUAAUAACCAGGACUCGGUAGGAAGCGGUUGUGGCAAUUACCAGGAGGAAGCACGAAACGGUAAAAGGUAAUAAAAGGAAGGACGCACGAAACGAUAAUGGCUAAUAACAGGGACGCCGCAAAAGCGGUUGGGGUAAUUACCGAGACGCCGCACGAAGCGGUUGGGGUAAUUACUGAGACGCCGCACGAAGCGGUUGGGGUAAUAACCGAGACGCCGCACGAAACAGUUGGGGUAAUAACCAGGACGCCGCACAAAACAGUUGGGGUAAUAACCGGGACGCCGAACGAAACAGUUGGGGUAAUAACCGGGAUGCCGCACGAAGCGGUUGAGGUAAUAACCGGAACGCCGCACGAAACGGUUGGGUAAUAAUCGGGACGCCGCAUGAAGCGACAAUGGGUAAUAACCGGGAUGCCGCACGGAGCGACAAUGGAUAAUAACCGGGAGGCUGCACGAAACAACAAUGGGUAAUAAUCGGGAGGCUGCACAAAGCGGUUCGGGUAAUAACCAGGACGCCACUCGAAGCGGUUGCGGUAAUAACCGGGACACCGCUCAAAGUGGUUGGGUACUAACCGGGACGCCGCUCAAAGCGGUUGGGUACUAACCGGGACGCCGCUCGAAGCGGUUGGGGUAAUAACCGAGACGCCGCACGAACCGGUUAGGGUAAUAACCGAGACGCCGCACAAAGCGGUUAGGGUAAUAACCGAGACGCCACACGAAGCAGUUUGGGUAAUAACCAGGACGCCUCACCAAACGGCUAGGUAAUAACCGGGAUGCCGCACGAAGCGGUUUGGGUAAUAACCGGGACACCGCACGAAGGGAUAAUGGGUAAUAAUCGAGACGCCGCACGAAACGGUCGGGGUAAUAACCAGGAGACCGCACAAAACGAUCAAGGUAAUAACCGGGAGGCCGCACGAAACAGUCGGGGUAAUAACCAGGAGGCCGCACGAAGCGGUUGGGGUGAUAACCAGGAAGCCGCAUGAAGCGGUAAUGGGUAAUAACCGGGAGGCCGCAAGAAGCGGUAAUGAGUAGUAACUGAGAGGCCACACGAAGCGGUUGGGGUAAUAACUGGGAGGCCGCACGAAUCGGUUGAGGUAAUAACCGGGACGCCGCACGAAACGGUUAGGUAAUAACCGGGACGCCGCACGAAACGGUUGGGUAAUAACCGGAAUGCCGCACGAAGCGACAAUGGAUAAUAACCGGGAGGCCGCACGAAACGGUUGGGUAAUAACCGGGAUGCCGCACGAAGCGACAAUGGAUAAUAACCGGGAGGCCGCACGAAGCGACAAUGGGUAAUAACCGGGAGGCCGCACGAAGCGACAAUGGGUAAUAAUCGAGAGGCUACACGAAGCGGUUGGGGUAAUAACCAGGACACCACUCGAAGCGGUUGCGGUAAUAACCGGGACGCCGCUCAAAGCGGUUCGAUACUAACCGGGACGUCGCUCGAAGCGGUUGGGGUAAUAUCAGAGACGCCGCACGAACCGGUUAGGGUAAUAACCGAGACGCUGCACAAAGCGGUUGGGGUAAAAACCAAGACGCCGCACGAAGCGGAUAGGAAAUAACCAGGACGCCUCACCAAACGGCUAGGUAAUAACCGGGAUGCCGCACGAAGUAGUUGGGGUAAUAACCGGGACGCCGCACGAAGCAGUUGGGGUAAUAACUGGGACGCCGCACGAAGGGACAAUGGGUAAUAACCGGGACGCCGCACGAAGCGGUCGGGGUAAUAACCAUGAGACCGCACGAAGCGGUUGGGUAAUAGCAAGGAUGCCGCACGAAGGGACAAUGGGUAAUAACCGGGAGGCCGCACGAAACGGCCGGGGUGAUAACCGGGACGCCGCAUGAAGCGGUUGGGUAAUAGCCAAGAUGCCGCACCAAGCGGUAAGAGGUUAUAACCGUAAUGCCGCACGAAGCGGUAAUGGAUAAGAACCGGGACGCCGCACGAAGCGGUAAUGGAUAAGAACCGGAAAGCCGCACGAAGCGGUAAUGGGUAAAAGCCGGAAGGCCGCAUGAAGCGGUUGGGGUAAUUACCGUGGGUAAUAACCGGGAGGCCGCACGAAACGGUUGGGGUAAUGACUGCGACGCCGCACGAAGUGGUUGGGGUAAUAACCGAAACGUCGAACGAAACAGUUGGGGUAAUAAACGGGAUGCCGCACAAAACAGUUAGGUAAUAACCGGGACGCCACACGAAGCGACAAUGGGUAAUAACUGAGACACCGCACGAAGCGACAAUGGGUAAUAACCGGGAGGCCGCACAAAACGGUUGGGGUAAUUACCGAGACGCCCCACUAAGCAGUUAAGGUAAUAAUCGGGACGCCGCACAAAACGGUUAGCGUGAAAACCAAGAAACCGCACGAAGCGGUUAGGGUGAUAACUGGGAGGCCGCACGAAGCUGUUGGGGUGAUAACCAGGAGGCCGCACGAAGCUGUUGGGGUCAUAACCGGGAGGCCGCACGAAGCGGUAAUAGGUAAUAACCGGGAGGCCGCACGAAGCGGUAAUGGGUAAAAAUCGAGAGGCCGCACGGAGCGAUUGGGUAAGUAACCGAGACGCCGCACGAAGCAGUAAUUCGUAAUAACCGGGACGCCGCAUGAAGCGAUGUGCGUAAAUACCGAUACGUCGCACGAAGCGGUUGGGGUAAUUACUGAUACGCCGCACGAAGCGGUUAGGGUAAUUUCCGAUACAACACACGAAGCGGUUGGCGUAUUAACCAAGAGACCGCACGAAGCGGUUGGGGUGAUAACCGGGAGGCCGCACGAAGCGGUUGGGGUGAUAACCGGGAGGCCGCACGAAGCGGUUGGCGUGAUAACCGGGAGGCCGCAUGAAGCUGUUGGGGUGAUAACCGGGAGGCCGCACGAAGCGGUUGGAAUCAUAACCGGGAGGCCGCACGAAGCGGUAAUGGGUAAUAACCGGGAGGCCGCACGAAGCGGUAAUGGGUAAAAAUCGGGAGGCCGCACGAAGCGAUUGGGUAAGUAACCGAGAUGCCACACGAAGCAGUAAUUCGUAAUAACCGGGACGCCGCACAAAGCGGUAGGGGUAAAUACCGAUACGCCGCACGAAGCGGUUGGGGUAAUUACUGAUACGCCGCACCAAGCGGUUAGGGUAAUUUCUGAUACAACACACGAAGUGGAUAGAGUAAUAACUGGGACGCCGCACGAAGCGGUUAGGUAAUAACCGGGAUGCCGCACAAAGCGGUUGGGUAAUAACCGUAACGUCGCACGAAACGGUAAGGGGUAAUAACCGGGAAGCCGCACAAAGCUGUAAUAGGUAAUAACCGAGACGCCCCAGGAAGCGGUUGGGGUAAUAACCAGGAGGCCGCACAAAACGGUUAGGGUAAUAACCGGGAGGCCGCACGAAGCGGAAAGGGGUAAUAACCGAGACACCGCAACNNNNNNNNNNNNNNNNNNNNNNNNNNNNNNNNNNNNNNNNNNNNNNNNNNNNNNNNNNNNNNNNNNNNNNNNNNNNNNNNNNNNNNNNNNNNNNNGGCGAGGCCGCACGAAGCAGUAAGGGGUAAUAACCGGGACGCCGCACCAAGCGGAAAUGGGUAAUAACCGGGAUACUGCACGAAGCGGUUGGGGUAAUAACCGGGACGCCGCACGAAGCGGAAAUGGCUAAAUGGCUAAUAAUCAAGAGGCCGCACAAAGCGAUAAUGGGUAAUAACCGGGACGCCGCACGAAGCGGUAAUGGGUAACUAGAUGGCCGCAUGAAGCGGUUGGGGCAAUAACCAGGAGAACGCACAAACCGUAAGGGGUAAUAACCGGAAAGCCGCACGAAGCGGUAAUAGGUAAUAACCGAGACGCCGCACGAAGCGGUUGGGGUAAUAACCGGGAGGUCGCACAAAGCGGUUGGGGUAAUAACCUGAAGGCCGCACAAAACGGUUAGGGUAAUAACUGGGAGGCCGCACGAAGCGGUAAGGGGUAAUAACCAAGACACCGUACGAAAUGGUAAUGGGUAAUAACCGGGAGACCGCACGAAGCGGUAAUGGGUAAUAACAGGGAGGUUGCACGAAAAGGUUGGGGUAAUUAACGGAACGCCACACAAAGCGGUAAUGGGUAAUAAACGGAACGCAGCACGAAGCGGUAAUGAGUAAUAACCAAGACGCCGCACAAAGCGGUAACGGGUAAUAACCGGGAGACUGCACAAAGCGGUUGAGAUAAUAACCGGGAGACUACACAAAGCUGUUGAGAUAAUAACCGGGACAACGCACGAAGCGGUAACGGGUAAUAACCGGAAGGCCGCACAAAGCGGUUGGGGUAAUUACCGUGGGUAAUAACCAAGACGCCGCACGAUGCGGUUGGGGUAAUAACCGUAACGCCGCACGAAACGGUAAGGGGUAAUAACCGGGAAGCCGCACGAAGCGGUAAUGGGUAAUAACCAGGACGCCGCACGAAGCGGUUGGGGUAAUAACCGGGAGGCCGCACGAAGCGGUAAAGGGUAAUAACCGAGAAGCCGCACGAAGUAGUAAUGGGUAAUAACCGGAACGCCGCAUGAAGCGGUUGGGGUAAUAACCGGAACGCCGCACGAAACGAUCAAGGUAAUAACCGGGAAGCCACACGAAACGGUUGGGGUAAUAACAGAGACGCCGCACGAAGCGGUAAUGUGUAGUAACAGGGAGGCUACGAAGCGGUAAUAGGUAAUAACCGGGAGACCGCACGAAGCGGUUAAGGUAAUAACCGGGAGGCCACACGAAGCGGUAAUGGGUACUAACCGAGAGGACGCACAAAAUGACAAUGGGUAAUAACCGGGACACCGCACGAAAAGGUAAUGGGUAAUAACCGGGAGGCCGCACGAAACGGUUGGGGUAAUAAUCGGGAGGCCGUGCAAAGCGGUAAAGGGUAAUAAACGGAACACCACACGAAACGGUAAUGUGUAGUAACCGGGAGGCCACACGAAGCGGUAAUGGGUAAUAACCGGGAGGCUGCACGAAGUCGUUAAUGGGUAAUAACCGGGGAGGCCGCACGAAGCGGUAAUGGGUAAUAACCGGGGAGGCCGCACGAAGCGGUAUUGGUAAUAACCAGAAGGCCGCAUGUAACGGUAAUAGGUAAUAACCGGGAGACCACAAGAAGCGGUUGAGGUAAUAACUGGGACGCCGCACGAACAGUAUGGGUAAUAACCGGGAGGCCGCACGAAGCGGUUAGGGUAAUAACCGGGAGGCCGCACGAAGCGGUUGGGGUAAUAACCGGGACGCCGCACGAAGCGGUAAUGAAUAAUAACCGAAAGGCCGUACGAUGCGGUUGGGGUAAUUACCGAAACACCGCACAAAGCGGUUGGGGUAAUAACCUGGACGCCGCAAGAAGCGGUUGGGUAAUAACCAGAACGUCCGGGAUACCGCAUACAGCGGUUGUGUAAUAACCGGGACGCCGCACGAAACGGUUGGGGUAAUAACCGAAAAAACGCACGAAACGGUAAAGGGUAAUAACCGAGACACCGCACGAAACGGUAAUGGGUAAUAACCGGGACGCCGCACGAAACAGUAAUGGGUAAUAAGAGGGACACCGAACGAAACGGUUGAGUAAUAACCGGGAUGCCGCAAGAAACAGUAAGGGGUAAUAACCGGGACGCCGCACGAAACGGUUAGGUAAUAACCGAGACGCCGCAUUAAACGGUAAGGGGUAAUAACCGGGAGGCCGCACAAAACGGAAAGGGGUUUUUAAGAGUUAUGGAAAGAAUAAUUAUCUAUUGUUUUUAAGAGUCUUGCAUGGGUCUUUAUGUAUUUAAGUCUUUUAAUUAUUCAAGAGUCUUAUUAUUAACAAGUUUACAAAUCUUAUGGUAUUCUAGGAGUCUUAUAAAGGGCUUUCUAAUGUACUUCGAAGAGUUGAUUUGAAUGAAUUAAGAUUUUAUCUUAUUGAAGGCUUGUCCUUGUUUCCUCUCCCCUAACCUCUCUCAUUCUAUUUCUCUCUUCUAAAGCUAAGAAACCCUUGUCCCUUAAUCUCUCAACAUUCUGCAGAUCACCGUAUUAUCUCUAUCACUGACUAUUGGCCUCUCCAUGCAUCAAUGAUAAUCCACCAUUUUUGUCUCAGUCAACUACGACACCACUUUAUUCACUGAUGUUGAUAAUGUUCUAAGAAUUAGGGUCAUUAUUUCUAGUCAUUUUUAUACAGAUACAUAUUUAAAAGCAAUAAAGAUUACUUCCUAUUUUCUACUUAACUCCAAAUAAGCAUCCAAUUGGAUUUAGUUAUUCUCUGUAUAGAAAUGUAAGUGAGAGAUAUAAAGUGGUACCUCCAAACAUAGAAAUUCUUUUUGAAACUAGUGUUAAUUCCAAAUAUUUCUUCAUUUCUUAAGUAUAGAAAUAUCAAUGAGAGAUAUCAAAUGCGAAAAAGAGAAAGGACUUGAAUAUAAAAAGCUUACCUAAUAUGUUUCUACUCUUAUGUCCAGACUUCAGAUAUGGCGGUAUAAAACUGAUAGGUAUGAAAUUAAGGUGGAGUGAAUUCCUUGGAGCAAAUUCCUAAUAUUCAGAAUCAGUAAUAAAAAAUAAAAAAACACGGAUUAACUUGGAAUAUUCAAUAGUAUCAUAAAAUUAAAGUGAGAAACAGCUGAGAUGAAUAACAAAAUUAAAUUAGUUGAAGUAUGAGUAUCAGUCCCAAGUAAUUACUCCACUCUCCUUUCCUUUUGAAUAAU
rnacentral:lncRNA from 1 species